UUUCGACUGGUCCCACUUUCCCCCUCACUUUCUGUGCUGCUGGACAGUGUCAGGACAUCCUGGGAAAGCAAAAGGUAGUCUCAACCUCCUCUGAAGAUACUGAGACAUGUCAGGUUGCCUAUCAAACCCAUUUGCCUGAAGAAGUUGCUCCUGCAGCCAUCCGACCUGCUCUAGCACUGGCUGUUCUCUACACCUAGUGCACAGCUGUCAGCGUGGAAGCCAUCCUUCACUUCACUAUCAUCUGAGGGAUUCCCUUCACUCCUCUUUUGGGUUGGAUCCUCUGUCUCCCGGAUUGUAUGCCUUCCUCUUUCUUGGCUUUUCUCUUCUUUUUGGUAAACAUUUCCAGUAUGUUUUUGAGAAGGGGAAUAAAGGAAAACUUUGAGGUA